rnacentral:rRNA from 1 species
GGAGUUAGGAAAUGCAGAGAUGUUAAUAGCGUCUUUGCUUGACUAAGGCUCCGGAGGAAGCCACGGCUAACUCUGUGCCAGCAGCCGCGGUAAUACAGAGGCGGCAAGCGUUGUUCGGAAUUAUUGGGCGUAAAGAGCACGUAGGCGGCUAUGUAAGUCGGUUGUGAAAGACUUCCGCUCAGCGGGAGAACAGCGUCCGAUACUGCAUGGCUUGGGUGCGGGAGGGGAGAGUGGAACUUCUGGU